rnacentral:rRNA from 1 species
UACGUAGGGGGCAAGCGUUGUCCGGAAUUAUUGGGCGUAAAGAGCGUGUAGGCGGCUCGGUAAGUCCGCUGUGAAAGUCCAGGGCUCAACCCUGGAAUGCCGGUGGAAACUGUCGAGCUAGAGUCCGGAAGAGGCGAGUGGAAUUCCUGGUGUAGCGGUGAAAUGCGCAGAUAUCAGGAGGAACACCAAUGGCGAAGGCAGCUCGCUAGGACGGUACUGACGCUGAGACGCGAAAGCGUGGGGAGCAAACAGG